CUCUGCUGUAAGGAGCAGUAAGGGUAACGUGGUUGUGCAAGGGAUGAUGAGGAGUCAGCUGGCCACGUGGAAGGAAGAGAAAAGGAGUCAGUGUUGUGAGGAGCUGCCUGUGGGGACUUGCAGAGAGAAGCCUCUCCCAGUUGCCUCAGCAGGGUGACAGGCAGUGCAGAACUGUGAGCAUGGGUCACCUGUGGGCUGUAGUCCCUCAGGAGUGUCCCUGUCCUGCCAUGAGUUGUCCACUGAGGAUAUUUCCUUGGGCUGCCCUGCCCCAGCAUGGGUUUCCUGCAGAAGCACAUCCUCUUGAAUAUUGGGCCUUCUGCCAAGACUGUCUCUCUAGCUGUGUCCACAAAAAAGACCUUUUCCUUGUUUUCCUCUGCUACUUCCUUUUCUCUGUCCGUGUGUCCUCAUGACUACCAUUUUCCCUUAAAUUUGUCUGAGGCAGGCUGUCAGGAGCUUCCUUUCAGUUUUGGCUCUCAGUGGUCACAUCAGGGCUAGAACUGGAGGGAUAGAUUUUGAAGAAAUAUGUGUAAUGUUUUUUUUAAGCAACUGCAACAUUUUAAAUUUCUGAUGUGAAUUUUUUACUAAAAUAUUAACUUAAAGGGAAAUAUUUAGAUGAAGUUUUGUAAUUAAUUUUCACAUACUCUUAUUAUGUGGCCUAAGAAAUAAUAAUUUAUAAUACAUGGGCUACACCAAUAGUUUUUAGACUCACAAACUAGAAAUCCUCAACAUUUCCCUCUCUUCUACAUCCCUGUACAUUUGCAUCAGUUAUAGUUUGUCCCUAGAGAAUACAGAAAAAAUUAUUUCAGGAACUGAGGAUGUUUUAGUCCCGAUAUUCCAC